GGUGGACGGUGUGCGUAGUGUCUGUCUGCAUUUAGGGCCAUCUCUCAGUCUGUCUUACAGGCUGUGUGACUGUUCUCAUGCGUCACUCACACACAGAGACACUGGAGAUCAUAGUACUGGCCCAGUGAUGUCUUCAUGACCCUCCACCACUAGCCAGCCUCCAUAGUCUCCUACAAAA